AUCAACAUUUAGUAAAAAGGUGCUGUUUCAGCUUAAUAGGGAAUUCGGUGAAAUACCGAAGCUGUACCCGCAACUGUAAGUGUGGACGAGCGCACGGCAAUCCACUGUCCAAUGGACGGGAAGGAAUGCGCAAGGAAGAAGCACAAGCCAGGAGACCUGCCUUUUUACAGCGUUUACUC
rnacentral:ncRNA from 10 species